GUGAUCCUGAUAGCGACGAGAGGCGACCUCGUCCUUUUCCGCGGUCUGUGUCGUUCCUAGGUCGACCAUUUGAUACCACUUCGUCCCUUUUUACUGUUUUUACUUUUCCAAAUGCAUCGUGCGUUUCUUCCUAACAAGCUACGUCACCUGUACGGGCUAUUGACCGCAUUUGAUUGACUUCCGCCUCAAUUUGUGAACGAAUAAGUUACUUUGCGACGUCAAAAAAGGCGGGCUCGUCUUCUUCCGCGUUCUUUAUCGCUGCUAUGACGACCAUUCCAAACGACGCCCUGGACGGCGAAAUUCCCAUCAAGUUACAACUGCCAUGUCGGCCCCACCGGAGCACACCUACGACCCUGACGACAACGAUGCCCUGACCGUGUUCAGCGGCUCCUCUCCGGAGGACGUGUCCCACGCACGGCAGCUGUGGAACUCCUUGUGCAUGCCUACGCCGUUCGAGUCCCGACUGGUGUCGGCGGACAUCCCGCAAAGGUUGCCCGUGUCUCGGCCAGAGCGUAGCGGCCACUUGGAACCGCGCCGCAUCGAGCCGCCCAACCUGAACGACGCGCAGCAGCGGGAGGAGGAGAGGAAGCGCUACCUGGCCAUGGCCGCCCAGAGGAAAGAGACGCUGGCCCUGCUUCGGCGGCAGAGGGAGCAGAGAAUCCAGAAGGAACUGCUCUCUGCGGCCUUCAAACCCAAAACGCCUCGAGACAAGGCGCCGAAAGAGAACACGAACGAGCUGGAGAUGGAAAAGGAGAUGGUUAGUCAGUUGGACUGAACCGCGCAGCCGUGGGGGUCGUGGUAAUCGGCAAAGGUUGAGUCGAGGCAACUUGGUGCACUGCUCCUCCCCCAGCGAGUCCGUGUUCUCGCCCAAGUCAACGGAAGCGGUUCUCAUCUUGGACCGACCCACCACUGGAUCCGGAGGGGGCCCGGGGAUGCCCCCAGGACCCGGAUAGAUGUCCAGCGUGCCCGAGAUAGACUGCAAGGAGCGCUCUCGGAAGUAGUGGAAGGCCUCCUGGUCCAGGAAGUUCUGCUCCUCACGGAGACCCUGCUCAAAGAGUUUGCGCUUGUGGCGAAACUCGAUCACUGUCUUGGUAUAGGAGUUGAGCGUGGUGACCGAGGCGGCCAUGCAGCACGUGAAGGAACCCCACGCCAUGC